rnacentral:rRNA from 1 species
GCAGUCGAACGGUAAACGACGAAAACAAUCCCUUCGGGGUGCGUUUUCGGGCGUUCGAGCUGGCGGACGGGUGCGUAACGCGUAGGAAUCUACCCUUAUAGUGGGGGACAACUCGGGGAAACUCGAGCUAAUACCGCAUAAGCCUUACGAGGGAAAGCAGGGGAUCUUCGGACCUUGCGCUAUUAGAUGAGCCUGCGUCGGAGUAGCUUGUUGGUAGGGUAAUGGCCUACCAAGGCAACGAUCCGUAGCUGGUCUGAGAGGAUGAUCAGCCACACUGGGACUGAGACACGGCCCAGACUCCUACGGGAGGCAGCAGUGGGGAAUAUUGGACAAUGGGCGCAAGCCUGAUCCAGCAAUGCCGCGUGUGUGAAGAAGGCCUUAGGGUUGUAAAGCACUUUCAGUAGGGAAGAAAUGCGUGUAGUUAAUAACUGCGCGUCUUGACGGUACCUACNGAAGAAGCACCGGCUAACUCCGUGCCAGCANCCGCGGUAAUACGGAGGGUGCAAGCGUUAAUCGGAAUUACUGGGCG